GAUGAACGCUAGCUACAGGCUUAACACAUGCAAGUCGAGGGACCGGCGCACGGGUGAGUAACACGUAUCCAACCUGCCCUUUACUCGGGGAUAGCCUUUCGAAAGAAAGAUUAAUACCCGAUAUAAAGGAUGGGGAUGCGUUCCAUUAGGUUGUUGGUGAGGUAACGGCUCACCAAGCCUUCGAUGGAUAGUGGUUCUGAGAGGAAUGUCACACACAUGUGAACUGGGACACCAGCCAAACUCAUACGGGAGGCAGCAGUGAGGAAUAGUGGUCAAUGGUCGCUAGCCUGAUCCAGCCAAGUAGCGUGAAGGAUGAAGGCUUAUGGGUCGUAAACUUCUUUUAUAUAAGAAUAUGGAUUAUAUGAAGAAGGAUCGGCUAACUCCGUGCCAGCAGCCGCGGUAAUAC
rnacentral:rRNA from 1 species